rnacentral:lncRNA from 1 species
AUCAAAUUGUUUUGCUUUUAUUCUUAUUUAACAUCAAUAUUUGUGUAUCUUGUUGCGCAUACAAACAUUGUUAUCUGUUAUUUGUUCAAUAAGGCCAUUUGUACACAUAACAUGAUAGCAUAUUGCCAUUCAAGACCCCUGAAUCCGUAGUUAGAUUAUCUUGAUGCUAGUGGUAAAUUAGUGUCCUACUAAAGAGAUAUAUAAUCUAACUUAAAUAGACCACAUGGUUAAAUUUAUUGGUUAGAAUUGAGUCUUUCUAACUUUUAAUGUUGUUAGUACACUAAAUUCUAGGAGCAUCUCCGAGGUUA